CCCCGGGGCAAGGAGGGGAGGCCAGGCAGCCGGAAGGAAACUCCUGAGCUUUUUACGGAAUGCACAAGACAAAAGAGUGCUGCUUGCUCUGCAGCUGGUCCAAGAAGCUUCACCUCCCAGGAGCACCAGACAGAUGAUCUCCUGUUUACAGUGGUUCCAGGAGCACCAACCCCAAGGAUGAGUUAUAAGCAGGUCUCUAAAGAGAUUUUAGGAGAAGCUGCUAAAAUGGUGGCAAAGCUCUUUAGAAACAUAGAAGUAUGAACCUUUUUAUGGGGAGAACUUAUAAGAGUUUGGAGAGGUCUUCCAGGUCCACACAACCUCCCUGGAAAUGGCAAGGAGUUAUAAUUUCCAUUUUACAGAUGAAAAAUGAAAAAGAGGAGAAGGGGAUGCCAUUUGCUCAAGGCUGCUGGAACGCUAGGCUGGCUCUGGGACUAUCACGAAAAGUUUCUAACCCCCCGCCACGGCUCUUCUCACAACACAAGAAUGAGCUCAGAGAGGUUAAUGAACCUGCCAAAGACCCCAGCUGAGAGACUGAGUUGGUUUGCAGAUUCCAAAGCCCACAUUCAUUCCAUUUUAUCUCAUCUUUAGUGGACUUUGAACAUGCCUCAGCCUUCACCUUGACCCUUGGUGAAGGUGCUGAGAACCAAGACCCAGUGCAGCGGUGUCUCUGGAACCUCCUGGAGCUCAGCAGCCGACUCCCAAACCUGGAGGUCCUCACUCUGCACCCUGUGCUCUGCCCUCUGGCUGAUCCUCAGCAUUCCCAGGCAGCCUGGCUCCCUGUAAAGUUGUUUAAACUUCUGUUUAUCAUCAUCUUCCAUCAUUUCUAAUUGUUUUCCUGUGUCCCUUUCUUUUGUAGAGGAUAUAAACUCAGCAUUUUAGCUUUUGAAAUAGAUUUGCUGUGCAGUUUCAUGGCUCUUUAGUGGCUUAAAAUGUAUUGUUCUGUGAGUCUUUCUGUGCCCGUCACAGCAUUCACUGUGGGAAGCAGCAGGACGCCAGCGAUGCUGAUGUUUAUUUGAUUUUAGGGGACUUUAAGGCAUUCCUGGGACCAUACGGAUUCUAAAUAUUCUGCCUCAUUGUCUUCAGAAGCUACUAAAAUAUCCUAGAAAUGAUCAUGUUUCAGCAUGUAAGCUACAUAUUUCACGUUACCUCUUGUAUCCAUCCAUACAUAGCCUCUAUCAAGAGCCUGGCAUAAGCCAAUGUAAUGGUUCUGAAAUGGUAACCACAUGGUUCUUCAAUCACUAAAACCCUUUCCACUCUGAGAUUGGACAUUCAUUGCUAUUUUCUGCCAGGGCUUUGAUUUACAAGACUGUCUAUGAGUUCUGUGUUUAAUAUACAGAACUGGCUGCCCUCAAUGCAUGAGACUUCCUGGUAUUUUUUUCAUGUGAUUAGAUGGAUUACAUUUGUUUCAUAUUUAUUGUUUAGAUAUACAAGUAAUCCUCACUUUGCACAGUGUCAUGUCUGCAUAUUGAAACCCUAUACUCACUUUGUGCAAUCCUUUGGUAAGUGCAAAGUGAGAACACAGGUCUGAUAUGUACAAGUUUCAGUGAACAUGGUACUAUGCAUCAUGAAGACUAUCUGAAGUUGCUUUCAAAUAAAAUUUGGAUAAGGACUGUA
rnacentral:lncRNA from 1 species